UACGUAGGGUGCAAGCGUUGUCCGGAAUUAUUGGGCGUAAAGAGCUCGUAGGCGGUCUGUCGCGUCUGCUGUGAAAACUCAGGGCUUAACCCUGAGCUUGCAGUGGGUACGGGCAGACUAGAGUGCGGUAGGGGAGACUGGAAUUCCUGGUGUAGCGGUGAAAUGCGCAGAUAUCAGGAGGAACACCGGUGGCGAAGGCGGGUCUCUGGGCCGUAACUGACGCUGAGGAGCGAAAGCAUGGGGAGCGAACGGG
rnacentral:rRNA from 1 species